rnacentral:rRNA from 1 species
GACGAACGCUGACGGCGUGCCUAAUACAUGCAAGUCGAACGAGAGCGACCGGUGCUUGCACUGGUCAAUCUAGUGGCGAACGGGUGAGUAACACGUGGGUAACCUGCCCAUCAGAGGGGGAUAACAUCCGGAAACGGAUGCUAAAACCGCAUAGGUCUUCGAGCCGCAUGGCUUGAAGAGGAAAAGAGGCGCAAGCUUCUGCUGAUGGAUGGACCCGCGGUGCAUUAGCUAGUUGGUGAGGUAACGGCUCACCAAGGCCGUGAUGCAUAGCCGACCUGAGAGGGUGAUCGGCCACAUUGGGACUGAGACACGGCCCAAACUCCUACGGGAGGCAGCAGUAGGGAAUCUUCCGCAAUGGACGCAAGUCUGACGGAGCAACGCCGCGUGAGUGAAGAAGGUUUUCGGAUCGUAAAACUCUGUUGUUAGAGAAGAACAAGUGCUAGAGUAACUGUUAGCGCCUUGACGGUAUCUAACCAGAAAGCCACGGCUAACUACGUG